rnacentral:rRNA from 1 species
UAUGAUUAUUGACUUGCCAAUGAUCAAUCUCAUGAGAUUUUAGAAGCUAAGCAGGGCCACGUCUGGUUAGUUCUUGGAUGGGAGACCGUGGGAAUCCCAGGUGUCACAA